UGGAGUAGAUUAGAGUUGGAGAGAUAGAAACAGAAUAGAGAGAAAACCUAGGUCAGUCAUAUUGGAAGUCUUACGGCGGAGGAUCUAUUAACAGAGAAAGAGAUUAGAGAUAGAAAGAAAAUAUGGCUCCUACCGCGGUGAAACAAAAUGUGGCGCAACUAGCAGAUCAACUACGGCUAGACGGCAACAAAUACUUCAACACAGAUCAAUUCGGUGCUGCCAUUAAUGCUUAUACUGAGGCAAUCACCUUGUGCCCUGAUGUUGUUGUGUAUUGGACGAACCGCGCUAUAUGCCAUUGCAAGCGGAAUGAUUGGAAGAAAGUUGAGGAGGAUUGUAUAAGAGCCAUUCAGCUUGAUCCCAAUUCUGUCAAGGCACACUACAUGCUAGGGCGUGCAUUGCUAAAGAAACACGAAUAUAGUGAAGGAAUCAAGGAAUUGAAAAGAGUUUUGGACCUUGGGGGUAGAGGUGCAAACCCUAGGAGUUAUAUAGUAGGGGAUAUAUGGAAGGAGUUCAUGACAGCCAAAUACCUGGAAUGGGAGCGUGAAUCUUCGAAGCGGUUGUGGGAUUUGCAAUCCUUGAAGGUAGCUUGUGAGCAUGCUCUUGUAGAGAAACAAUUUCUUGAUAGUUCUCAACCGGAAGGGGUUUCAGAUGAAGACAUUAAUGCCAUUUCAGCACAAUUGGAGCUUCUAGGACGCGUUUUUGAUAAAGCAGCAGAAGUUGACCUGCCAACUGAGGUACCAGAUCAUCUCUGCUGUAAAAUUUCAUAUGAUAUUUUCUACGAUCCUGUCAUUACUCCUACUGGGAUUACAUACGAGAGGGCAGUGAUUGUUGACCAUCUCCAGAAGGUGGGAAAUUUUGAUCCGGUCACACGUGAACCUCUUGAUCAAUCUCAACUGAUACCAAAUUUAUCCAUAAAGGAAGCGGUCCAAGCGUUUCUUGACAACCAUGGUUGGGCAUACAAGAUGGACUGAAGUAUUACCUUGUUAAUGAUGAGAAGAGUUUGGAGUCCGAGUAUCUUAUAUUUGAUUUCAAUUCUCAUUUUGAUGCAUUGGCAAUCGUUUUAGGAUUUCGGUGUAGUGGAGAGAAGACGACGACGGGUUUCUGUGCAGUGGGAGAGAAAAAGACGACGACGCCGGGUUUCUGUCCAUAGGUGUGUUCGUUUUCGUAGUUUGGUGUUUGUGUCUGCUCUGGUUUGUUACAUAAUUGUUGGAGACCAGUCGUUGAUCGAAGGUGGAGAACGAUUACAGAAUUUCUUUCUCAAGAUGGAUACCUUCAUGUUGUUGGUGUGCUCAUAUGGGUGUAGUACUAUUGUAACAAAUAUGGUGCAAACGUUGUCUUAUUCACAUUUCGUGGAGUGUAUGUGUGAAAAAUGGAGCGAGUUAUCUGCCGAUUGUGUUUCAUUGUUCUAUCGGCUACUUGAGAUUAAUAGGUGUAAUUUGGACAAUGAUGAUGAGUGUCAAAGUAUGUUCUUACAUGUUGGUUGAGAUUAAAGGGAGAGAGAACGUUUCAAAGCACUAUUUCUGCCAUGGUUGCAAUUUUAACUAGAGAUCGAAGAUAAAGAGAAGGAUGCCAAUCAAAAGGAGAGAGAAUGAUUUGAAGCUCGAUGUUGUAUUAAGUUUAUUUUGUUACAGACUUGUUCAUCAAAGGUGGGUUUGGUUUAAUUUGAAUUGGUGUAAUGAUAGAAUUGUAGGGGUUGUUAAUGAUAGUGAUGAUGAUGAUGAUGGUAAAGAUAAGGAUGUAGGUGAUGGUUUUUAUUUUU